AAAGGUGUCAGUGUUUUGGGUGUCUGUAAUUCCCGUUACUCCUCCGGUCCAGUAGGUGGCGCCCGCUCGCCGCAGACAGAUGAAUCAACCGGGUACAAGGAUAUAAGACGAAGAGCGGAGCCGCUUCAGUCUUUCCUGCAGCCAGAGCUGAGUGUGAACAUCGAGCUGUUCUUCUCAAACAUGGGUUUGUCUGCAGUGUCUCAGACCAGGUUAUCUGGUUCUUGGACCUUCAUCUGCCUCGUUGGCUGCGAUGAAGUCUCCUGUCAUUUCAACCAGAACUCUUUAGGGUUCAGACUGUCCCUGGAUGUCUGAAUCUCUUCUUCAGAGCUGGACCUCAGUUUGGAACACCUGAAAUGAUGGUGAAACCCGGGAGACUGAGAUGGAUCUGGAUGAAAUGAAGGUCUCUGGUUCUGUUUGAAGGAGUAUUGGAUGAUGGACAUCAAAACAAAGGUCUCUGGUUCUGCUUGAAGGAGUAUUGGAUGAUGGACGUCUAAACAAAGGUCUUAAGUCCAGAGUUCAGGAGUCACUCCUGUCCAGGUGGAGCCUGACGCAGAACUCCAGGUCUCUGGUUCUGUUUGAAGGAGUAUUGGAUGAUGGACGUCUAAACAAAGGUUUAAGUCCAGAGUUCAGGCGUCACUCCUGUCCAGGUGGAGCCUGACGGAGAACUCCAGGUCUCUGGUUCUGUUUGAAGGAGUAUUGGAUGAUGGACGUCUAAACAAAGGUCUCUGGUUCUGUUUGAAGGAGUAUUGGAUGAUGGACGUCUAAACAAAGGUUUAAGUCCAGAGUUCAGGAGUCACUCCUCUCCAGGUGGAGCCUGACGCAGAACUCCAGGUCUCUGGUUCUGUUUGAAAGAGUAUUGGAUGAUGGACAUCAAAACAAAGGUGACCUUCAGCUCAAGGACCGUCUUGCAGUUUCCACCAGAGGUCUCACGACCAAAGACGGCCCAAACCUUCCUUGGAUGUCUGAGUGAUGUGUGACGGCGCUCGUCGUCUGUCAGAACUUCCAUGUGUUUUAAUCUGGUUCUUCUGUCUC